UUUCUUCACCUUUUUAAGAAGUUUGGGUUUCUUGUUGUGUGCAGCAAAAAUGCAUCUGGUAUACCACAUAGCUCUCAGAUCAAAUCAACCCACUUGAAGCGAUUCUUGAUGUAGUUUUGUGUCUUUCUUGGCUGAUUAGUUGAGUUAAAAAUUGAAUCUUUGUGCAUAAAUCAGAGAGGGAAUAAAAGGGGUCAGAAGAAAACCUAACGUUGUG
rnacentral:misc_RNA from 1 species